rnacentral:lncRNA from 1 species
GUUUGUCUCCCCCAAAGGGCACAAGCUGAAAGGUGGCUGCCACAUGGCCUCUGCUACUCACCAUAGGGCAGGACUGAUGGCUUCCUUCUCCCAAGUUUCACUAGUAGUCCACAUAUGUAUAUUGGAAUGUGUGUGUGCACGGGCUUGUAUGUAAAUGUGUGUGACGGGGGUGGAUCCAUUGGGUAGGGAGAGAAGCUCCUGAGAAUCCCCUGUGUUCCAAGUACAGGAAGGAUCACAUGGACUACUGGGAGAAAUGAGUGUGAGGUCCGAGGCCCCUUCCUCUUAGACCUCACACUACAGGGAAGCCCAUCCCUGGCCAUGCUCAGGCAUGGGCUAUGGUGUGAGAUCAGAGGCACUGAUAUUAGGUAGACUUUGGGGCCAGUGGUGUCAGCCAGGACAGGGCAGAGCUAGGACUCAGCAGUGAGUUCAUGUCCCAUUCUGGCCCUGAUUAGUCUGUGACUUCUGCUUUCCCAUCCCCUCAGCUACUUUUGGUCUUCCAUGGUGCCCUCGCUGUAUGAUAUCAUGGUGCACUCUAUUUGCAGUCUAUACUGCAGGCAGGCAGCGGAGCUUCAACAAAUUCAGACUUAACCUGGAUGACCUGACAUCCUCAUGUUUACAUUUCCAUGUGUGAUGGGACUCUGCAUGGUCAGCGCUGUCCGGUCAGAGAUGUGGUUUCUGAAGUUGUCACAUGUUGUUUUCUCCCAAAGGUCUGGAGUCAAGGUGUUGAAUCCAUGUUGAACCUCAAGAGUAAGGGGAAAUGAAACCAUCUCUACAGGCCACUGCUGCAGCCCAGAGUCCUCGCUGAAGUAUUAAGUGGUAAAGUCCUCAGUGCCUUUUGGCAGAGCUUGCUAGAGACUGUUGAGGAGAUAAGGCACCCACCAGGUGCUGCAGCUGGAUGCUGU